GAUUAACGCUGGCGGCGUGCAUAACACAUGCAAGUCGAACGAUGAAACUUAGUAGACUUCUUCGGAAAGACACUAAGCGGAUUAGUGGCGAACGGGUGAGUAACGCGUGAGUAACCUGCCUUACACAAGGGGAUAGCCUUUGGAAACGAAGAAUAAUACCCUAUAAAACCAUAAAAGCACAUGCUAGAAUGGUCAAAGUGAUAGCGGUGUAAGAUGGACUUGCGUCUGAUUAGCUAGUUGGUGAGAUAAAAGCUCACCAAGGCAACGAUCAGUAGCCGGCUUGAGAGAGUGUACGGCCACAUUGGGACUGAGACACGGCCCAGACUCCUACGGGAGGCAGCAGUGGGGAAUUUUGCACAAUGGGGGAAACCCUGAUGCAGCGACGCCGCGUGAUUUAGAAGGCCUUCGGGUUGUAAAAAUCUUUUGUAUAGGAAGAAAAUGACAGUACUAUACGAAUAAGGUCCGGCUAAUUACGUGCCAGCAGCCGCGGUAAUACGUAAGGACCGAGCGUUGUCCGGAAUCAUUGGGCGUAAAGGGUACGUAGGCGGCUAGAAAAGUUAGAAGUCAAAGGCUAUAGCUCAACUAUAGUAAGCUUCUAAAACUAUUUUAGCUUGAGAAAUGGAAGGGAAAGUGGAAUUCCUAGUGUAGCGGUGGAAUGCGCAGAUAUUAGGAAGAAUACCGGGUGGCGAAGGCGACUUUCUGGCCAUUAUCUGACGCUGAGGUACGAAAGCGUGGGUAGCAAACAGGAUUAGAUACCCUGGUAGUCCACGCCGUAAACGAUGAGUGUUAGGUGUCUGGAGUCAAAUCUGGGUGCCGCAGCAAACGCAUUAAACACUCCGCCUGGGGAGUACGCACGCAAGUGUGAAACUCAAAGGAAUUGACGGGGACCCGCACAAGCAGCGGAGCAUGUGGUUUAAUUCGACGCAACGCGAAGAACCUUACCAAGUCUUGACAUAUUACGGAAGCAGUUAGAGAUAAUUGCUUACAUCUUCGGAUGACUGUAAUACAGGUGGUGCAUGGUUGUCGUCAGCUCGUGUCGUGAGAUGUUGGGUUAAGUCCCAUAACGAGCGCAACCCCUAUUGCUAGUUACCAUCAUUAAGUUGGGGACUCUAGUAAUACUGCCGGUGACAAACCGGAGGAAGGUGGGGAUGACGUCAAAUCAUCAUGCCCUUUAUGACUUGGGCUACACACGUGCUACAAUGGCAGGUACACAGGGUUGCAAGACUGCGAAGUUAAGCGAAACUCAAAAAGCCUGUCCCAGUUCGGAUUGCACUCUGCAACUCGAGUGCAUGAAGUUGGAGUUGCUAGUAAUCGUGGAUCAGAAUGCCGCGGUGAAUGCGUUCCCGGGUCU
rnacentral:rRNA from 1 species